rnacentral:misc_RNA from 1 species
GUAUUGUAUUGCGUUAAACGCGGCAUACAUUCCAUGAGACUUUAUUACAGUGUGUAUGUGUAAAUAUGCAGGACCACGGUAGGAGGACAUAGCCCCCAGACCAUAGAACUACAGAGAGUGCACAGGUGUGAGUGGAUGUGUAAACAGAGUGUGCACAUGCCCCCACCUGGGGGCCAGCAACAACUUCAUGUUGACAAUUCGGUAAUGAUCCUUCCGCAGGUUCACCUACGGAAA